UACGUAGGGUGCAAGCGUUGUCCGGAAUUAUUGGGCGUAAAGAGCUCGUAGGCGGUUUGUUGCGUCGGCUGUGAAAUCCCGAGGCUCAACUUCGGGUCUGCAGUCGAUACGAGCAAACUAGAGUGUUGCAGGGGGGACUGGAAUUCCUGGUGUAGCGGUGAAAUGCGCAGAUAUCAGGAGGAACACCCGUAGCGAAGGCGGCACUCUGGGCCGAUUCUGACACUGAGGAGCGAAAGCGUGGGGAGCGAACAGG
rnacentral:rRNA from 1 species